rnacentral:rRNA from 1 species
GACGAACGCUGGCGGCGUGCUUAACACAUGCAAGUCGAACGGAAAGGCCUCUUUCGGGGGGUACUCGAGUGGCGAACGGGUGAGUAACACGUGAGUAACCUGCCCUUGACUUUGGGAUAACUUCAGUAAACUGGGGCUAAUACCGGAUAGGAGCUCCUGCUGCAUGGUGGGGGUUGGAAAGUUUCGGCGGUUGGGGAUGGACUCGCGGCUUAUCAGCUUGUUGGUGGGGUAGUGGCUUACCAAGGCUUUGACGGGUAGCCGGCCUGAGAGGGUGACCGGCCACAGUGGGACUGAGAUACGGCCCAGACUCCGACGGGAGGCAGCAGUGGGGAAUAUUGCACAAGGGGUGGAAGCCGGAUGCAGCAACGCCGUGUGCGGGAUGACGGCCUUCGGGUUGUAAACCGAUUUCGCUCAUGACGAAGCUUUGUGUGACGGUAGUGGGUAAAGAAGCACCGGCUAACUACGUG